rnacentral:rRNA from 1 species
UACGAAGGGGGCUAGCGUUGUUCGGAAUUACUGGGCGUAAAGCGCACGUAGGCGGCUCUUUAAGUCGGGGGUGAAAUCCUGGAGCUCAACUCCAGAACUGCCUUCGAUACUGUAGAGCUUGAGUUCGGGAGAGGUGAGUGGAACUGCGAGUGUAGAGGUGAAAUUCGUAGAUAUCCGCAAGAACACCAGUGGCGAAGGCGGCUCACUGGCCCGAUACUGACGCUGAGGUGCGAAAGCGUGGGGAGCAAACAGG